CAUUGGGGUCAUGGUGCAUCGACGCACGGCAAACAAUAGGCCCCUUCGUGGUAGGGCUCACGGCUACCAUCUCCUGAUAAACUAACAUUAACCUAUUGAAGAGACAACGGGACCUCUUUACCAAGCGUAAACAUUUCAGUAGCUUCAUCUUCCUUCUGACAUCGAUGUGACAGAACCAAGGGAACACCUUUUGAGGACCAAUUGUCAGAAGAAUUUCUGUACAAUGGACUGUGGGUAUUAUUUGAGUAGAGUUUGACCAUCUUGAAUUUAUACUGCUAGUUAGUAAAGAUGUGCUCACACUCAUUAGACUGUCACAGAACGGAGCUCUCACAUAGAACUGUGUUGACUCACGCUGUCAAUCCCGUCUUGUCUGAAGUCGGACUGUCCUCUGAGGAAGACCGUGUGGUUAGUAAAGAGUAGCUCUCACAGCUCUUUUUGUAUUGAUGUCCUUUGACUAGUGAUGCUAGUUUUAGCCAGUGUAGAUAUUCCAAUCUAUCGAUAAGUCAUUUGUUCAACAAUAAGUAGGUUUAAAAACAGUAGUGAACAUGAGACACAUCUUGAAUGAUUUGUAUUUAUUACCAUAACUGUCAAUGCUUGAACACCUAUUGGCGUCAGACAUAUUGUACAUUUAGCUUUAUUAGGUAGAAUACCAGCAAACACACUGCCUCGACUUGCCACAAGCAGGAUGAAUGUGAAUACAGCACAAUCAAGCUUUCUGUGCCAGGUUUGACCUGCUGUACUUCUAAGACUAAAAGGUUUAUAUUUGCUGGUCAUAUAUAACAACCUCUUGGUGAAGUAUACAAGUGAUAUGUUAGGUGAGUGGUCACCAACCAGUCGAUCGAUUAUAUAAAAUAUAUUUUGAUUUGUUUGAAACUUUUUUGGGGUUACCACAUGAUUCCAAGUGUUAUUUCCUAGUUUGUCUUCACUAUUAUUCUACAAUGUAGAAAAUAGUCCAAAUAAAGAAACCCUGGAAUGAGUCGGUGCCCAAAAGUUUGACUGGUACUGUAUAUCAUUUCCUGAGCUUUCUUAUAUCUUCUAGAUAUAAGCCAAACACGUAACCUUGUUUCUUCUUAUUUAUUUUUUUGAAUGUCUUUUUUCCAUUUAUGAAAUUGUUAUUCAGUAUCUCUCUGGGCUAUAGUAGUAAAGGCCAAAUUCAAUAUUAUAUCAAAUGUUUUUAUUUAUUUUUAUACCUAAAGGGGUCCUAAAAUUCAAAAUCAAAUAUCUAAAUGAGCCACCUCAUGGAAUCAUUUUAAGAUGAUCAUAUGUCAGCUUAGAACCCACCCCACCCCCAGCAAUGCAGAGAAAGUAGAUAAAUAAUAUUUUUAAAAAACACAAUACAAGUAACAAUAGAUACACAAUUAGUGACUAACUUGGCUAUAUACAAGGGGUAAUAGUACCGAGUCGAUGUUCAGGGGUACGAGGUAGAUAUGGACAUCUAACUAGGAAUAAAGUGACAGUAGCAGCAGUAUAUGUGAUGAGUCAAAGCUAGUGCAAAAAGGGGUCAAUGCACAUAGUUAACCAAAUAUCUAUUCAGACCAAACUAUUUCAGGGUCCUGUUACUAGUUUCAACAAGUCAUUUUUAAAGGAGUAGAAUGUUAACAUUUGUGAACUGUAGUCUUCCAAUCACGAGGCAAUGGGAAAAUAAGUUGUGACUAUGAAACUGCUCAAACAUACUGGACAUUUUUUAACAGGUCAUUUUACCAUUAUGCUGUCAAAUGUAGACACUGUGUAUUGUGUGCCCUAUGCAGGAUAAAGUAGCAUAACACAGAGGUUCCCAAACUGUUAUGAUGGAUAAGUUCUAGGUGGUCCAGAAUUCUGUGAGAAUAUGUUUGUGUAGUUUAUAUCUAAGCAUUUAAAUCAUUCCCAGGUGGACACAAAUAGGGAAUCCUUACCACUGUGCUUUGAUUCAGAGGGGUUGGGUUAAAUGCGGAACACAUACUACUGGUCCAACAUUUUAGAACACCUACUCAUUCAAGGGUUUUUCUUUAUUUUUAACUAUUUUCUACUUUGUAGAAUAAUAGUGAAGACAAAAAAACGAUGAAAUAACACAUGGAAUCAUGUAGUAAGCAAAAAAGUGUUAAACAAAUAAAACAUAUUUUUGAGAUUCUUCAAAUAGCCACCCUUUGCCUUGACAGCUUUGCACACACUUGGCAUUCUCUCAACCAGCUUCAUGAGUUUGUCACCUGGAAUGCAUUUCAAUUAACAGGUGUGCCUUCUAAAUUUGUGGAAUUUCUUUCCUUUUUAAUGUGUUUGAGCCAAUCAGUUGUGUUGUGACAAGGUAUACAGAAGAUAGCCCUAUUUGGUGAAAGACCAAGUCCAUAUUAUGGUAAGAACCGCUCAAAUAAGCGAAGAGAAAUGACAGUCCAUCAUUACUUUAAGACAUGGUCAGUCAAUACGGGAAAAUUAAGAACUGAAAAUGUCUUCAAGUGCACUCGCAAGCGCUAUGAUGAAACUGGCUCUCAUUAGGACCGCCACGGGAAAGGAAGACCCAGAAUUACCUCUGCUGCAGAGGAUAAGUUCAUUAGUUACCAGCCUCAGAAAUUGCAGCCUAAAUAAAUGCUUCAAAAACACAUGCCCAACAUCAACUAUUCAGAUGUGACUGUGUGAAUCAGGCUUUUAUGGUCGAUUUGCUGCAAAGACACCAAUAAUAAGAGACUUGCUUGGGCCAAAAACACGAGCAAUGGACAUUAGACCGGUGGAAAUGUGUCCUUUGGUCUGGAGUCCAAAUUGGAGAUUUUUGGUUCAAACCGCCGUGUCUUUGUGAGACGCAGUGUGGGUGAACAGAUGAUCGCAGCAUGUGUAUUUUCCAUCGUAAAGCAUGGAGGAGGUUAUGGUGUGCGGGUGCAUUGCUAGUGACACUGUCUGUGAUUUAUUUAAAAUUCAAGGCACACUUAACCAGCAUGACUACCACAGCAUUCUGCAGCGAUACGCCAUCCCAUCUAGUUUGGGCUUAGUGGGCCUGUCAUUUGUUAUUCAACAGGACAGUGACCCACAACACACCUCCAGGCUGUGUACGGGCUAUUUUACCAAGAAGGAGAGUGAUGGAGUGCUGCAUCAGAUGACAUGGCCUCCACAAUCCCCCGACCUCAACCAAAUUGUGAUGGUUUGGGAUGAGUCGGACGGCAGAGUGAAGGAAGAGCAGCCAACAAGGGCUCAGCAUAUGUGGGAACUCCUUCAAGACUGUUGGAAAAGCAUUCCAGGUGAAGCUGGUUGAGAGAAUGCCAAGAGUGUGCAAAGAUGUCAAGGCAAAGGGUGGCUACUUUGAAGAAUCUCAAAUAUAUUUUGAUUGAACUUUUUUUGGUUAUUACAUGAUUCCAUGUGUUAUUUCAUAGUUUUGUCUUCACUAUUAUUCUACAAUGUAUUAUAGUAGUAAAAAUAAAGGAAAACCCUUGAAUGAGUAGGUGUUCUAAAACUUCUGACCGGUCGUGUAUUUUGGUUGAAUGCAUUGUUGUGCAACUUACUCAGUAUUCCCUUUCCUCAGUUGAAACAAUGGAGAUGAGUCAAUGCUUGUGUGACAAUGUUUGUAACACUAUUAGUCACCGAAUCUCAACCCAGGAAGGAACAUUGCGGUUUAGCGAAAAAACUGAACCCAAUUGACAAGUAUAACCGUAGUAUAACUGUGUACUCAGCUUCACUCUUAGUCAGAACACAAUUUUAAGGGUUGUGGACGUUCAGGAGAACGUGGAUGGCUGAAUAAUUACCUCUCAUGUUUACUGACAAAAUUACCUUUAUCAAUGUUAAGUGGAUAUGGAUAACAGCAGCAAGAAAAGGGCAAUUUAUAUACAUAAUUAUUUAUUUCAAAUUAUAUUUUUGAAUGUUUAUAGUUUGUUAACAGCUAAAUGUCUGGAUAAAUACUGUCAAAGGGAUCCCUGCAAGGUUGUUUGUAAAACCAGUGACACCAGCUGACCAACUUUUUGUUACUGAGCAAUAACUGACAAGUUGUUAGUUAAUUUACUUCUCUUGUCUGUUUGGUGUAUGUACAUGGGUUAGUGUAGUAAUAAGCAAUGUUACAUGUGAACUCUGGCUGACUUUUGUGUAUUAUGUUAUGAAUAAAAUGAGCUGAUUUCUUGA